rnacentral:tRNA from 1 species
GUAAGUAUAGUAUAAAGGUUAGUACAUUGAAUUGUGAUUUCAAAAUUACGAGUUCAACUCUCGUUACUUACC